UACGGGGGGAGCAAGCGUUGUUCGGAUUUACUGGGCGUAAAGGGCGCGUAGGCGGUCAGCACAAGUCAGUUGUGAAAUCUCCGGGCUUAACUCGGAACGGUCAACUGAUACUGUGCGACUAGAGUGCAGAAGGGGCAACUGGAAUUCUCGGUGUAGCGGUGAAAUGCGUAGAUAUCGAGAGGAACACCUGAGGUGAAGACGGGUUGCUGGGCUGACACUGACGCUGAGGAGCGAAAGCGUGGGGAGCGAACAGG
rnacentral:rRNA from 1 species